rnacentral:lncRNA from 1 species
GGCUUAAGGCAGACAGCAGUUUGUUUCACAUGAUUUGCUGAUGGGGAAGCGGCUGUAAUCCAGGAAACCACUCUGGAUUGAGCCUCUGACCCCUUAUCAACAAGGCAACUUCCCCCUCAAACCUGUGAUGUCAACC